UACGUAGGGUGCAAGCGUUGUCCGGAAUUAUUGGGCGUAAAGAGCUCGUAGGCGGUCUGUCGCGUCGGCUGUGAAAAGCCCGGAGCUCAACUCCGGGUCUGCAGUCGAUACGGGCAGACUUGAGUGUUGCAGGGGAGACUGGAAUUCCUGGUGUAGCGGUGAAAUGCGCAGAUAUCAGGAGGAACACCGGUGGCGAAGGCGGGUCUCUGGGCAACAACUGACGCUGAGGAGCGAAAGCGUGGGGAGCGAACAGG
rnacentral:rRNA from 1 species